UGUCCACGCUCCAUUUCCCAGGAAACUCAUUGGUAGUAGGCGCAGCCGCAGCUGCUGGUGAUGAUGUAGAUGUUUUUGUCAACUGUUGUUUCCCAGCUUUAUCGGAGACAAUGGGAUUAUUAGAGGGCUCGGCUGCAUGGACGGCGGAGAUGUGGAGGACGGAUCGGGAGGGGUUGGUGAAAAAAGAAGGUUGGUGGGGUUUGUUGGAGGGAAAGAGGGAUUUGGUGGGAAUAAUGGAGGUGCUAGCGAGAGACAUUUUGGGCAAAUUUUUUUCUUUUUCUGAAAUUUUGGGCAAUUCAAUAACGGAGAAUCGAGGGAUUCAAGAUUUUAGAGAUCCCUGAAGGAGCAGAGAAAGAGAUGAAAUGGGUUUUUAUAGGGAAAGAGAAGAGCUUGGGGAGGGCGUAGACAAAGGGCUG
rnacentral:misc_RNA from 1 species